rnacentral:ncRNA from 1 species
AAGAAUGUGCUCACUUUCUUUCUCCAUUAGGAUCUUUACCCUUUCCUAAUUUGAUUGUGGGCACUCUUAA